rnacentral:rRNA from 1 species
GGUGAAGUCCCUCGCGGAUGGAGCUGAUGAGAGUCGCAGAUACCAGGUGGCUGCAACUGUUUAUUAAAAACACAGCACUGUGCAAAAUCGUAAGAUGACGUAUACGGUGUGACGCCUGCCCGGUGCCGGAAGGUUAAUUGAUGGGGUUAGCGUAAGCGAAGCUCUUGAUCGAAGCCCCGGUAAACGGCGGCCGUAACUAUAACGGUCCUAAGGUAGCGAAAUUCCUUGUCGGGUAAGUUCCGACCUGCACGAAUGGCGUAAUGAUGGCCACGCUGUCUCCACCCGAGACUCAGUGAAAUUGAAAUCGCUGUGAAGAUGCAGUGUACCCGCGGCUAGACGGAAAGACCCCGUGAACCUUUACUACAGCUUGGCACUGAACAUUGAACCUACAUGUGUAGGAUAGGUGGGAGGCUUUGAAGACAUGACGCUAGUUGUGUUGGAGCCGUCCUUGAAAUACCACCCUUGUAUGUUUGAUGUUCUAACUUAGCCCCGUUAUCCGGGGUGAGGACAGUGCCUGGUGGGUAGUUUGACUGGGGCGGUCUCCUCCCAAAGAGUAACGGAGGAGCACGAAGGUGGGCUAAUCACGGUUGGACAUCGUGAGGUUAGUGCAAUGGCAUAAGCCCGCUUAACUGCGAGAAUGACGGUUCGAGCAGGUGCGAAAGCAGGUCAUAGUGAUCCGGUGGUUCUGUAUGGAAGGGCCAUCGCUCAACGGAUAAAAGGUACUCCGGGGAUAACAGGCUGAUACCGCCCAAGAGUUCAUAUCGACGGCGGUGUUUGGCACCUCGAUGUCGGCUCAUCACAUCCUGGGGCUGAAGUCGGUCCCAAGGGUAUGGCUGUUCGCCAUUUAAAGUGGUACGCGAGCUGGGUUUAGAACGUCGUGAGACAGUUCGGUCCCUAUCUGCCGUGGGCGUUGGAAGAUUGAAGGGGGCUGCUCCUAGUACGAGAGGACCGGAGUGGACGAACCUCUGGUGUUCGGGUUGUGUCGCCAGACGCAUUGCCCGGUAGCUAAGUUCGGAAUCGAUAACCGCUGAAAGCAUCUAAGCGGGAAGCGAGCCCUGAGAUGAGUCUUCCCUGACAGUUUAACUGUCCUAAAGGGUUGUUCGAGACUAGAACGUUGAUAGGCAGGGUGUGUAAGCGUUGUGAGGCGUUGAGCUAACCUGUACUAAUUGCCCGUGAGGCUUAACCAU